CCUACGGGAGGCAGCAGUGAGGAAUAUUGGUCAAUGGACGAGAGUCUGAACCAGCCAAGUAGCGUGAAGGAUGACUGCCCUAUGGGUUGUAAACUUCUUUUAUAUGGGAAUAAAACGUUCCACGUGUGGGAUUUUGUAUGUACCAUAUGAAUAAGGAUCGGCUAACUCCGUGCCAGCAGCCGCGGUAAUACGGAGGAUCCGAGCGUUAUCCGGAUUUAUUGGGUUUAAAGGGAGCGUAGGUGGAUUGUUAAGUCAGUUGUGAAAGUUUGCGGCUCAACCGUAAAAUUGCAGUUGAAACUGGCAGUCUUGAGUACAGUAGAGGUGGGCGGAAUUCGUGGUGUAGCGGUGAAAUGCUUAGAUAUCACGAAGAACUCCGAUUGCGAAGGCAGUUCACUGGACUGCAACUGACACUGAGGCUCGAAAGUGUGGGUAUCAAACAGGAUUUGAUACCCCUGUAGUC
rnacentral:rRNA from 1 species